CCCUUAGAUGUCCUGGGCCGCACGCGCGCUACACUGAUGCAAUCAACGAGUUUCCUUGGCCGAGAGGCCUGGGCAAUCUUUUUAACCUGCAUCGUGAUAGGGAUAGAUUAUUGCAAUUAUUAAUCUUGAACGAGGAAUUCCUAGUAAACGCAGAUCAUCAAUCUGCAUUGAUUACGUCCCUGCCCUUUGUACACACCGCCCGUCGCACCUACCGAUUGAAUGGUCCGGUGAAGCCUCGAGAUUGUGAUUGGUUCCCUUUAUUGGGGAUUUUUUGCGAGAACUUGUCUAAACCUUAUCAUUUAGAGGAAGGUGAAGUCGUAACA
rnacentral:rRNA from 1 species